rnacentral:tRNA from 2 species
GGGCGUUUAGCUCAGUUGGCUAGAGCAUCUCGUUUACACCGAGAGGGUCGGGGGUUCGAAUCCCUCAACGCCCACCA